UACGUAGGGGGCGAGCGUUGUCCGAAGUUACUGGGCGUAAAGCGCGCGUAGGCGGUUCUUUUAAGUCUGGUGUGAAAGGUUCACGGCUCAACCGGAACAGUGCACUGGAUACUGGGGGACUUGAGUCUGGAAGAGGAAAGCGGAAUUCCUGGUGUAGCGGUGAAAUGCGUAGAUAUCAGGAGGAACACCGAUGGCGAAGGCAGCUUUCUGGUCUAAGACUGACGCUGAGGUGCGAAAGCGUGGGGAGCGAACGGGG
rnacentral:rRNA from 1 species